CCCACGUCCCUAGUUGCCCUCAUUCAGUUGGGCACUCCAGGGAGACUGCCGGUGAUAAGCCGAGAGGAAGGUGUGGAUGACGUCAAGUCCUCAUGGCCCUUACGGGCUGGGCUACACACGUGCUACAAUGGCGGUGACAGUGGGAUGCGAAGGGGCGACCCUUAGCAAAUCUCAAAAAGCCGUCUCAGUUCGGAUUGCACUCUGCAACUCGAGUGCAUGAAGGUGGAAUCGCUAGUAAUCGUAGAUCAGAACGCUACGGUGAAUACGUUCCCGGGCCUUGCACACACCGCCCGU
rnacentral:rRNA from 1 species